GGCAACCCACUCCAGCAUUCUUGCCUGGAGAAUCCCCAUGGACAGAAGAGCCUGGUGGGCUGCAGUCCAUGGGGUCGCAAAGAGUUGGACCUGACUGAAGCGACUUGGCACACACAAAGCGCAUACGUCAAUCCCCAAUUCCCAAUCCCUCCCCCCACCAACCUUUCCCCUUUGGUAAACCAGAACUCAUCAUUUUAAACGAACUAGCAGAAACAACAUCCCAUAAUUCAGCUCUUUCUUAUUAUACUUUGCAGUCCAUUCAUACUUGAUUUUUGUAUGUAGGUCCCCAAGCAGCAAUUCCUGAAUGAAGUGAAGAACGUUUUGUACUCCUUAGGCUGUACUUGUACAAUAUUCUCUUCAGCCUUUCUAAGAAUGGGUGUUUGUACAUUUCCUUUCAUGCAGCAGGAUUCCUGCCAUACAAGGAAGCACCCCUGAGGGGCAGAGUCCUGAGGUCUGGAAAUCUAGAGAGGAUUCAUGGCUCUAAGUAUCCUGCAAAGUGGCCCAUUGCAUAUUAUGGGCUUAACAGUAAGAAGAAUGCAAACGGGAUUCAGAGAGCAGAGAAAUCGUGCCUCAGAUUCGCCAUUUAUGAUUCCAGGAUGAUAAUUGAAAACAAAGAUGAACUUUACCAAGACAUAAUUGGGAAUGAACUUAGAUAGUUCAGUUGCCACAGUUCAUUAGUUUUAUGGUUGAUAUUUAGGAUACUGAGGGGUAGAAUCUUAGCUUCCCCUGUCCUUUUUGGGACCUCCUCACUCCUCCAGUCUGUCAAAGGGGAUACAGAGAGAUCCAGAGGCUUAAGCUUUAAGUCUGGCAUCCACUUGAAACUAGAACUAAAAAUUAAAAAGAGGCAACGUGAAUCUGAGGGGGCAUUGGUCCCAUAUUCCCAUAAAGUAUGAAGUAUUUACCUCCAGCAGAAAAAUCAAUCACUUGGUCUUAGAUUUAAAAAUCCUUCUGCUGUCUAGCUUUGUCUCCUACCUGACAUCAUUUUACAUUGUCCACUUCUCUCCCUGCUGGGCUGUGAGGUUGCCAUAGGCUGUGAGGCUUUUAAGGAAAUAGAAUCCUAACUAUAACUUUCAACAUUGUCAAUACCUAACUAAUGACCGAUGACCAACAAAAGGCAAUACACAUCAUCCCCCAAACUUGGAGUUCUCAUUUAAAGACGACACAAAACCAGC